rnacentral:rRNA from 1 species
AGUUUGAUCAUGGCUCAGAUUGAACGCUGGCGGCAGGCUUAACACAUGCAAGUCGAGCGGGGAAAGGUAGCUUGCUACUUUACCUAGCGGCGGACGGGUGAGUAAUGCUUAGGAAUCUGCCUAUUAGUGGGGGACAACAUCUCGAAAGGGAUGCUAAUACCGCAUACGUCCUACGGGAGAAAGCAGGGGACCUUCGGGCCUUGCGCUAAUAGAUGAGCCUAAGUCGGAUUAGCUAGUUGGUGGGGUAAAGGCCUACCAAGGCGACGAUCUGUAGCGGGUCUGAGAGGAUGAUCCGCCACACUGGGACUGAGACACGGCCCAGACUCCUACGGGAGGCAGCAGUGGGGAAUAUUGGACAAUGGGGGGAACCCUGAUCCAGCCAUGCCGCGUGUGUGAAGAAGGCCUUUUGGUUGUAAAGCACUUUAAGCGAGGAGGAGGCUACCGAGAUUAAUACUCUUGGAUAGUGGACGUUACUCGCAGAAUAAGCACCGGCUAACUCUGUGCCAGCAGCCGCGGUAAUACAGAGGGUGCAAGCGUUAAUCGGAUUUACUGGGCGUAAAGCGCGCGUAGGUGGCCAAUUAAGUCAAAUGUGAAAUCCCCGAGCUUAACUUGGGAAUUGCAUUCGAUACUGGUUGGCUAGAGUAUGGGAGAGGAUGGUAGAAUUCCAGGUGUAGCGGUGAAAUGCGUAGAGAUCUGGAGGAAUACCGAUGGCGAAGGCAGCCAUCUGGCCUAAUACUGACACUGAGGUGCGAAAGCAUGGGGAGCAAACAGGAUUAGAUACCCUGGUAGU